CGUAGGGUGCGAGCGUUGCCCGGGUUUAUUGGGCGUAAAGGGCGCGUAGGCGGCUCGGCACGUCCGUUGUGAAAUCGCCCGGCUCAACUGGGCGGGGUCAGCGGAUACGGUCGAGCUCGAGCAAGCUAGGGGGCAAUGGAAUUCCCGGUGUAGUGGUGGAAUGCGUAGAUAUCGGGAGGAACACCAGUGGCGAAGGCGGUUGCCUGGGGCUUUGCUGACGCUGAUGCGCGAAAGCGUGGGGAGCGAUCCGGAUUAGAUACCCGGGUAGUCCACGCCGUAAACGAUGCGGACUAGGUGUCGGGGGUAUCGACCCCCCCGGCGCCGCAGCUAACGCACUAAGUCCGCCGCCUGGGGACUACGGCCGCAAGGCUA
rnacentral:rRNA from 1 species